rnacentral:rRNA from 1 species
CCUACGGGAGGCAGCAGUGGGGAAUAUUGCGCAAUGGGCGAAAGCCUGACGCAGCGACGCCGCGUGAGGGAUGAAGGUCUUCGGAUCGUAAACCUCUGUCAGCAGGGAAGAACGGUCACUGUGCUAAUCAGCAGUGAAUUGACGGUACCUGCAAAGGAAGCACCAGCUAACUCCGUGCCAGCAGCCGCGGUAAGACGGAGGGUGCGAGCGUUAAUCGGAAUUACUGGGCGUAAAGCGCUCGUAGGCGGUAUGUCAAGUCAAGGGUGAAAUCCCCGGGCUCAACGUGGGAACUGCCUUUGAAACUGGCAAACUGGAGUGUGUGAGAGGAUAGUGGAAUUCGAGGUGUAGGAGUGAAAUGCGUAGAUAUCUGGAGGAACAUCAGUGGCGAAGGCGACUAUCUGGCACAUAACUGACGCUGAGGAGCGAAAGCGUGGGUAGCAAACAGGAUUAGAUACCCCAGUAGUC